ACAACUACAGUGGUUGUGGUGACCGUGCGCGCCGCAACGUACAACGUCGUCGUCGUCGCCGUCUCGUACACCUCUCGUGCGUGAUACCAGUCCUCAGUUAGUCGACAGUUUCGUCUCGUCGUCGACGGUGUUCUGCUGUUGUCUCUGCACCGAUAUAUUUCACACUCUCGAACUAUCUGUCCUUCUCCGAGUGGUUCCGCACCGCAAGUAUCGCCGUUCGUUCAAUACCAAUAUAUUAUUAUCUUUCCGCAAACGUCGUCAACUCUUAAUCGUAAUUAUAUAAUAUUUGCGCGACGCAAUAGUAUUACAUAUUAUUACAAUCCAAACGGAUUGUAUACCUACUACUCACCGUGUUUGUGCGAGAAACUCGAGAUCGACAUGCAGGAACGUUUGACCACGACGUGUCUGUUGAAGGAGGCGCCAGUCAACGAGCUGAUGGCCGUCCAAGAAGAAUCAGGAUCCGCCUUGCCCGUCGACAUUUUCCAAGUGGCCGAACUCGUAGCUGGUUACAUGGAUUGCAUGGAAGAGGCCCUCAGAUACCUACAAGAAGUCGAAGAGUACCCCGAAGAACACCCCGCGGUCCAAGGGCUCCGCAGCCACCUGGACCGAUCCAGGCAGAAGCUCAUGGACCAAGCGCUUAUGUUGCAGGCUUGAGGCUUGACAAUCGUAUUAUUAUGAUUUACAUAUUAUAACAAACGUUUAAUAUUAUUAUGGAUUACCUAUACUGUAAGGUUAUACGUGCACGGUUGUAUUUCCUGCAAAAGGGACAACCGAGUUUGUGUCGUUACCACAACCGUAUGUAUUAUUAUUAUUAUUAUUAACUAUAUUUAUAGUAUUAUUUUUUUUUCUCUUUCGUUUUCACGUGGCUGUGUUAUACAGAGCUGUGAGGCACUUUUGCUGCUCUCGCUGAACGAAAUGGCUAUUAAAAAAAAAAAAAUACCAAUCAUACUUAAAUCCUGUUUAAAUAAGUUCCGUUUGUAUAUAAGGUAGUUACAUGUAUAUAAUAUUAUAUACAUGUUACUACCUUCAAACCUGCACUUAUUGUAUGUAUUAUUAUGACGUAUUGUUUAAAUAUUUUAUUAUUAUUUAUAUAUUAUAUAGGAACAUUACUAUACUGUAUACUCACGACGACGACGUACCUAAAAUAUCUAUAUAAAAUUAUAAUAAUAUAAUCGCGAUGGUCUACGUCUCGAGGGCGCGCGCGUGUGUGUCCGUUUUUGUUGUACGGGAACAAUAUAAUAAUAUAAUAUAGGGAGAAAGAAAUCUAGUUUUUUAUUUUACAUUUUUUUCCAAGAAUUAAUUACCGUCGCAAGUAUAAUAUAGCUGCUCUUCAACCCGGAGACAAAACAUAGUGCAGGGUGACCCCGUCAGGCAUAAUACCAUUUUUUUUUUCCACUGAUUGAUUUAUAGUUAGCUAUAAUAAUAUCGUGUAUCCUCUCGUCGUCGUCCGGUGGCUAUUUUAUAAUCGUUUCGGUAAUUAUUAUAAUAAACAUGGACGACGGACGUAUUCCCGAUCGAUUUUUCAUAUUUUUUUUUUGUUAGUUUGGUCGCGAAAAAAAUUGAGUUUUUUAAACAAAUAGUCCUACGACAACCCAAUAACACCGGCCGUCCACUUCCACGACCAGAGACCACACCUAUACUUAUAUUAUGCGUACGUGUUAUUAUUAAUAUGAAAUAUUAUAUUGUGGGGGGCUCACCUGAACGUCAUAAAACGAUUUAUAAGAUAUUUACGGCGCACGUGUAAUUAAUUUCGAUUAAUUGCGCCGCGGGGAGUCGCGAGCGCGCGCGCAAUAAACUCGUUCCCAACUUUUUUUUUUCUAUCUUUUAUAAUUUUUUACCCGUGGUAAGAACUAAAAUUUAAUUCGUAACACGCGAGCAACGAAGAAAAUGUCGUUAUUCCUUUUUUUUAUAUAUAUAUUUUCGUUCAUGUGCUUCACCUUAUAUAUAUAUAUAUAAUAUAUUACGUAUACCUGUAUAAUGUAAAAUAUUAUAUUAUAAUGUCUGUAAAUGUAAUCGGUUAGAAAUUUGCACUUUUGCAACGCGUCAUCCGUGUCCUAAUUAUUAAUUUUCUUUUUUACAAUGUAUUUUCUUUUUUUAUGUUUAUUAUUUUUAUUAUUAUCAUUAUUAUGUCACUCGAUUUUAAGAAAGGUGUAUUUUUGUUACAUACUUCAUUAUUUUGUAAUAUAUUAGCAUUAUUGUUAUUGAAAAUGUC